GACCCCAGGUCAGGCGGGGUUACCCGCUGAGUUUA
rnacentral:rRNA from 2 species